GGGCGCGAUCAUACCACCGUUAAUGCAUCGGAUCCCAUCAGAACUCCGCAGUUAAGCGCGCUUGGG
rnacentral:rRNA from 1 species